AAUUAUUGCUGACAUUUGGUACACUUCCUACAUGCCUGAUACUUUAAUAUUACUCAAUAUUAUUCAAAUUCCUUCAAAUCCAAGAGAAUGUUAUGCAUGCGUUAAUGCAAUGUUGUCAUAUUUAGCUAAAUGUUGACCAUCUUUGUUAAUUUCUGUAACAUAGGUGUGCAGAAAAAAGAAAAAGGAGACUUGAUGUGCGUUGGCCAGAGGUGCCAAACACAAGGCCAAUCUCCAACAUCAUCUCAGCAAAAGCAGGAUGCUGACGAGAUGGUACCUCUCUCUCCACCUGAGCAGAAUACAGCACACAGACAGGAGGUAUUUUCUGAAACAGAUGACGGUCUCAGUGAGGUGUAGAGGAUCCUUGUUGUCUACAUAAGUCUUUCAAGGCCAGAUUCUGCUGUCUGGUUUAGCAGUUCUCUUUUUGGAACUCAGUUUUGGAAUGUUCCUGCUCACUUAUACGAGAUUCGUCCAGAAUCUUUGAAAGAAUGCUGGAGAGAAGCCAGCAAACAGGACCAAGACAGCUGCUCGACAAGCAGGUUUCGGACAAAACACAUUUUGUCAUGGAUUACCAUCGACACUGUCCCACAUCGGGAGUUACAUCGGGAGUAACAGUGUUGACAAAGACCAGACAUAAUGAAAACUUUAUAUUAAAAAGUAUAUUCAAAAUUUAAAUUGUGUAUAUCAAAGGGGUGCUGAAGGUAAUUUAGGAUAUACUGGAGGAUUGUGCAAAUAAAAUGCAUCUUAAUGGCAACUGCACAAACAUCUGUACAGAACGUUCAGCAGAAUAGCUGAAACUCUUCUGUUUCACAGUCAGACAUAAUCAUAGCUGCAAUUUCAAUUUGUAAGCAGCUUGGCUAACAUUAGGCCUGCAGGAACAGGCAGUGUGGUAACAGUCAGACUUGCGCCUGAAUGACAGCAGCUCCCAGAAUGCACCGAGGCCUGUCAGACUCGCACCUAGAAGACUGCAGCUCCCAGCAUGCACCAAGGCCUGUCAGACUUGCACCUGAAGAACUGCAGCUCCCAGCAUGCACCGAGGCUCAGUCCAUUCUCAUCUCCCUUCAGUUCUAAUCCAUGAACAUAAAGGAGUGGCCUUUACAUGAAA